rnacentral:rRNA from 1 species
GACGAACGCUGGCUGCGUGCUUAACACAUGCAAGUCGAACGCUGAAGCCUGGUGCUUGCACCGGGUGGAUGAGUGGCGAACGGGUGAGUAACACGUGAGUAACCUGCCCCUGACUUCGGGAUAAGCCCGGGAAACUGGGUCUAAUACCGGAUACGACUGCCGGACGCAUGUCUGGUGGUGGAAAGUUUUUUCGGUUGGGGAUGGGCUCGCGGCCUAUCAGUUUGUUGGUGAGGUAAUGGCUCACCAAGGCGACGACGGGUAGCCGGCCUGAGAGGGCGACCGGCCACACUGGGACUGAGACACGGCCCAGACUCCUACGGGAGGCAGCAGUGGGGAAUAUUGCACAAUGGGGGAAACCCUGAUGCAGCGACGCUGCGUGCGGGAUGACGGCCUUCGGGUUGUAAACCGCUUUCAGCAGGGAAGAAGCGCAAGUGACGGUACCUGCAGAAGAAGUACCGGCUAACUACGUGCCAGCAGCCGCGGUAAUACGUAGGGUACGAGCGUUGUCCGGAAUUAUUGGGCGUAAAGAGCUCGUAGGUGGUUGGUCACGUCUGCUGUGGGAACGCAACGCUUAACGUUGCGCGUGCAGUGGGUACGGGCUGACUAGAGUGCAGUAGGGGAGUCUGGAAUUCCUGGUGUAGCGGUGAAAUGCGCAGAUAUCAGGAGGAACACCGGUGGCGAAGGCGGGACUCUGGGCUGUAACUGACACUGAGGAGCGAAAGCAUGGGGAGCGAACAGGAUUAGAUACCCUGGUAGUCCAUGCCGUAAACGUUGGGCACUAGGUGUGGGGGGCAUUCCACGUUCUCCGCGCCGUAGCUAACGCAUUAAGUGCCCCGCCUGGGGAGUACGGUCGCAAGGCUAAAACUCAAAGGAGUUGACGGGGGCCCGCACAAGCGGCGGAGCAUGCGGAUUAAUUCGAUGCAACGCGAAGAACCUUACCAAGGCUUGACAUACACCGGACCGUCCUGGAAACAGGUCCUCUUCUUUGAAGCUGGUGUACAGGUGGUGCAUGGUUGUCGUCAGCUCGUGUCGUGAGAUGUUGGGUUAAGUCCCGCAACGAGCGCAACCCUCGUUCUAUGUUGCCAGCACGUGAUGGUGGGAACUCAUAGGAGACUGCCGGGGUCAACUCGGAGGAAGGUGGGGAUGACGUCAAAUCAUCAUGCCCUUUAUGUCUUGGGCUUCACGCAUGCUACAAUGGCUGGUACAGAGAGAGGCGAACCCGUGAGGGCAAGCGAAUCCCUUAAAGCCAGUCUCAGUUCGGAUCGUAGUCUGCAAUUCGACUACGUGAAGUCGGAGUCGUUAGUAAUCGCAGAUCAGCAACGCUGCGGUGAAUACGUUCCCGGGCCU